rnacentral:sRNA from 1 species
UUACACUCACAUUGUGCAAGAAACCAUCAGCUGUAAUCUAAAUGACAGAGCAAAUGCAUCUUUCUUGCAACUGGACUCACAGCCACGGGCUGCUGGGUCAGAGUGUUUACAACAUCCCAGGGGACUCUUCUCAUAAAUGAAAUUGCUUCAAGGAAGAAUUCACUCGGGUUUGCCCACAACUUAAACACGACUGGGGAAAAUCGAUGUUUUAAAUAGCAAACGCAUGACUCACCUCCAUCUUGGAUGAUGAUCUUAUCAGGGUGGAAGCAGCCUUGUGGCUGGCAGCCAUCUUUACUAAGGUUAGAGAUCACAUGAAAUGUUACUUCACUACCAUCUUCAGAUGUCUAGUGGUAUAAACCAACUAAAGUAGCAAUUAGAAAACCUCUUAAUCCUAUGGAGAGCUCUGCUUACCACUGUACAUAGACUAAAGGAGCAACGCAGGUCUUCAAAGUACCUUGGAUUAGGAUGGCUUUUCAUAUGACAAUAAAUUCCUAAGGUUAUAAAGAUAUACUCAUGCUAACAGAACUGACUUAGAGAUAUUUAUCUGACCACUUAUGUCUUUGCUAACAUAGAUCUUUGCUGUUCAUCAGCAGGCUUCUAGAAAAUGAGAACAUAUUUUUGAUGAAUAAGGUAUGCUUAAUAAGUAAGGUUUAUAAAUUCCUAUGUUCUACUCAUGUUAACAGUAACUAAGUUGAAGAUAUAUGUCUAGCCUCUUUGUCCUUGCUAAAUUUGUUUUAAGCUUUAGCUAUUUGGGCAAACUGGGACAUACAAGGUACUGUGGUAUUCUAUAAUGGCACACUAUGCAAGAAUCAAAAAGUAGAAGUCCUGGUUUCUCUGUGGACUAUAUUUGUGGUUUAAAGUUUAAUUUUGAUGCUAAAGGGUCUGUAAUUAAAUAUUCUACUCAUAUUUUUAAGGCUCAAACUAAACAGGGAUAGAAUGGCAAAAUCUUAAUUUUAUAAAAGCUACUAACUUAUAAACUUAAAGGUAACUAAGACAUAUGAGUUAAUGCUCAGUCACCUUAUAUGUGACCAAAUUCUUUAAUGUGCUCAGAACUAUGUUGAUAGUAGUCAUGCUAAAUACAAACGUAAUUCAUUUACACAACCAAGAUUUAUAUAGCCUUUUGUAAAUGUUUUCAAGGCUAAGCCUGAAACUGGUAACUAAAACAAGUAGAAUUUUGUAAAAUCAUAUAUAUUAUCAUAGAUAAUGGUCCUCAAACUCUUCAGAGAUAUGUUAAAUACAGCAUUUAAAAUGUUUAAUGAAAACGCUUUCCAUCAUAGACAGAAAUGCUACCUCCUAGAGGCGACCCUAAGUUUUCCAAAGGUGAUAAUGGGCCACAGAUGACUCCACCUGGAUUGUGGUAAUGCUAACCAGUGGGGAAAACUGCCCCAUGCCUUGCCUGCCACCAGGGACCUGCCUAACCGUGGACAAGGUUGGAGUUGACUGAUCUCCUCUGUCUCAUCAAGGAGAGAUUCUAAGGAAGGACUCAGAGCAGCAGUGUGCUCAUGUCAGCCAAGAGGAGCUCACAUGGUCAUCCUCGGCCUGGAUCUCACUUUCCUGAUGAGGAACCCCCAAGCAGAGGAACAUGCACACUCCAUAGUCACAACCCCUCCCCAGACUACUCUGCAGAUGCCUCAGACCCCUCGAUGGUUAUCUCCAGUGUGGCACAGCCCUGCUGCAUUCAGGGUCUCCUCUUCUGAGAUCCUACUGCAGUAGCAGUGGGCACAGAGCUGGACCUGAGGGCUGGAACACCUGAUCCCUGACCUCCGGACAGACCUGGGGCCUUUGAAGAGAAUGGUCUUGAAGCCAGCAGCUCCAACAUAGGAAUGUUAUAUAUGAACCCAACCUUCUAAGGGUACACUGGUCAAGACAGGAGGGCAGAGCAUAUUCUUAUUGAACAGGCUGUAGUCUACUGUAUAAACUUCAACUAUUUAGACAGUAUUCAGUAACGAUGCUCCACUUAAACCUGUGCUUGGGCCCCUGGAUGCAGGAGGGCCAGGUUAAGGGACGUGAUGUUUCUAGUCUUCUGUUGCAGCUAUGGCUCCUUGUUGUUUUCCCAGACCCUGGAGCCGGCUCUGUACUGCUGUCCUCACACUCUCAGGCACUGAGGAUGAUGGUCCUUGCUGACCUAGUAGGUGUGAAGUCGCACACUAUCACCUCCUUCUGUGUUUCUUUGAUCAACUGCAAGAAUGAAAGGGAAAGUCACCUUCAUUGAGCUUUUACUGUGUACCAAGCUCUGUGGGGAAGCAUUCCGCCUCUGUUUACUCUGCUCCUCCCGUGAGGACCCUGGGAGAAGAAGAAAAAGGGACUUUCAGCAUGGCAGUGAAUGGUCGACACUUACAGGGUUGGAAGCCAGGGGCCAGUCUACAGGUUGCUGCCUUCCAAACUCAAGAGAAGUGCCCCCCCUUAUGUGGACACGCCCUCACAGAGGUGUCUAGAGCUGCGUUUGGUGAUGGGCCAGGUAUUUCUCAGUCUGACCAGGCUGCACUGCAGAUUAACUCUCACAGUGAGAUUUCUCUACAUUUUAUUGGCUUAUCGCUCAAAACGUAGAUCUCCUGUAGUCAUGUACUUCCCACAUCUGCUGUCAAGUGUGUCCUAGACCCUACUCCCUAUGCUUCCUGUGUCCCCACAAAGGCCAAUCUAACUGGGAAUCAAAUCCUGGACAGUGGCUCUCCUUUCUCAGGACUGCGUUUGCUGUCCUCCUCAGUCUCUGGUGUCUGAGGAAGAUGAAGAGUCCAGCUCUUUAAAGAUCUUUGCGCUGAGACUGGAGGGAUGGCUCAGCAGUAAAGAAGGCUUGGGUAGAAUCCUGUUCAGUUUCUAGACCCCACGUGGUGGCUCACAGUCACCUGUAAUUCCACUUCCAGGGGAUCCAGUGCUCUCUUCUGGCCUCAGCAGACACCAGGCAUGCAAGUGGUGCACAUACAUACAUGCAAGCAAAACACUCAAACACAUACAAUAAAUAAACCUUAAAAGUAAAAAAUGAUAUAGUUGCAUAUAUAGAAAAUGUCCACAUUUAUCGAAAAUUUAGAAAAUAGAACUUUGAUGUGAACGAGCACACAAGAUAAGCCUGCUGCCAGCCCAGGGUUCUCCUUCUCAAGAAGUCUCUUCCCCUCCCCAUCACCCCAGUCUGGGAUAAAGUCCUCUCCUCAGUGUCCCUAAAGCUCCCACUACAGAAUGCAUCUAUCAUUCCACACUGUGGGUGUAGUCCCUGUGUCCAUCUCUCUAAUUCACAAUGAUGAGCCAUGGAAAAGACAAGUGUACAUUUCAAACGCCCUGUGCUUACAGCACCGGGAAGCAGGCAGAGCACUGCAUGAAUGGGCUUGUCCACUUUUCUUUCUAGGUAUCCUGGCAACAAUGUAUCAUGUGAAGCACUGUAUCUAUAUUUAACUGAGCUUAUUCCUGGGCUUUUCUUUGUGUUCCAAAGAUCUACACUUAUCUGUUUUGAACAUUC